GAUGUGAAUGACCCUUCAAUUGAUGCUAAGUACAUGGCCUAUAUGUUCAAGUAUGAUUCCACUCAUGGCCCGUUUAAAGGUUCUAUUCGUGUCGUGGAUGAUUCAACCCUCGAGAUCAAUGGGAAGAAGG